rnacentral:rRNA from 1 species
UACAGAGGGUGCGAGCGUUAAUCGGAAUUACUGGGCGUAAAGCGCGCGUAGGCGGCUUUGCAAGUCGAUUGUGAAAUCCCCGGGCUUAACCUGGGAACUGCAGUCGAGACUGCUUUGCUCGAAUAUGGGAGAGGGAGGUGGAAUUCCGGUGUAGCGGUGAAAUGCGUAGAUAUCAGGAGGAACACCUGUGGUGUAGACAGCUUACUGGACCAUUUCUGACGCUGAGACACGAAAGCGUGGGGAGCAAACAGGAUUAGA